AUUUGACAUAACCCUUCUUCUUCACUUCACUGCGCAAACCCCAUCGAGAAUAGGGUUUUAGUCGCUCUCAGCACAGAGUGAACGAAGUAGAGAAAGCAAAUAUAAGGUUACUGCAAUGGCGUUUCUUAGUAAAUUUGGGAACAUACUGAGGCAAACAGCCAGCACGCAGAUAAAUAAUGAACUUUCUGCAUCCAGGCCAUCCCUCUAUCAAGCAAUACGAUGCAUGUCAUCUUCAAAACUUUUUGUUGGAGGUAUUUCUUAUGCCAUAGAUGACACUAGUCUGAGAGAAGCUUUUAGUAAAUAUGGCGACGUUAUUGAAGCAAGAGUUAUUCUGGAUCGUGAAACUGGUAGAUCUAGGGGAUUUGGUUUUGUAACUUACACAUCCAGUGAGGAGGCCUCUAGUGCCAUCCAGGCCCUGGAUGGACAGGAUCUUCAUGGUCGUCGU
rnacentral:misc_RNA from 1 species